rnacentral:lncRNA from 10 species
AAUUGAAUCUCUUACAGGCAUCUCACUCAAACUGCAGUCAUACUUUCCAAUAGGCCCCAUAAAAAUCCUUGUUCUGGAGCAAUCUAAUAUAUUUAUCCACCUCUUUAGACACUUAGGUAAGUAUAAUAAUACAAGUUUGUGUGUGUGUGUGUGUAUUGUGUACCUUGUGGCCUCUUGCCCAGUUUCUGCAACACCUGAAGCUGAGGCAAGUUUAAUGUAAAUAACGUCCAGCAAUGUUAGAAAUGUUGACUUUUAUGUGUCCAUCAGGAAAAAAGGAUGAAUGUUAUUGUAGAGGAAAUUUUCAUUCUGGAAAAAAUGCAUACUGUUUGAAUAUUACUUUCAUGCUUUCCACAGAUAUUAUACACAGAUAUUAUAUUCCAAG